UACGUAGGCAGCGAGCGUUGUUCGGAGUUACUGGGCGUAAAGAGUGCGUAGGCGGUGCUCUAAGUUUGGUGUGAAAUCUCCCGGCUCAACUGGGAGGGUGCGCCGAAAACUGGAGUGCUCGAGUGUGGGAGAGGUAAGCGGAAUUCCUGGUGUAGCGGUGAAAUGCGUAGAUAUCAGGAGGAACACCUGCGGUGUAGACGGCUUACUGGACCAUGACUGACGCUGAGGCACGAAAGCGUGGGUAG
rnacentral:rRNA from 1 species